rnacentral:rRNA from 1 species
AUUGAACGCUGGCGGCAUGCCUUACACAUGCAAGUCGAACGGCAGCACGGGAGCUUGCUCCUGGUGGCGAGUGGCGAACGGGUGAGUAAUACAUCGGAACGUACCCUGAAGUGGGGGAUAACGUAGCGAAAGUUACGCUAAUACCGCAUAUUCUGUGAGCAGGAAAGAGGGGGAUCGCAAGACCUCUUGCUUUAGGAGCGGCCGAUGUCGGAUUAGCUAGUUGGUGAGGUAAAGGCUCACCAAGGCGACGAUCCGUAGCGGGUCUGAGAGGAUGAUCCGCCACACUGGGACUGAGACACGGCCCAGACUCCUACGGGAGGCAGCAGUGGGGAAUUUUGGACAAUGGGGGCAACCCUGAUCCAGCCAUGCCGCGUGAGUGAAGAAGGCCUCGGUUGUAAG